CCUUGUGAAAUCGGGCCGCCCAACGGUUCGGCGUGCAAGGGAUACUGUUGGUCUUGAGGCCGGGAGAGGUCGGAGGUACUCCUGGGGUAGCGGUGAAAUGCUCUAAUCCUAGGGGGACCACCAGUGGCGAAGGCGUCCGACCAGAACGGGCCUGACGGUGAGGGGCGAAGGCUAGGGGAGCGAACGGGAUUAGAUACCCCGGUAGUCCUAGCUGUAAAGCAUGUGGGCCAGGUGUCUAGCGCUCCUCGAGGGCGCUAGGUGCCGGAGGGAAGCCGUUAAGCCCGCCGCCUGGGAAGUACGGCCGCAAGGCUGAAACUUAAAGAAAUUGGCGGGGGAGCACCACAAGAGGUGGGACCUGCGGUUCAAUUGGAUUCAACGCCGGAAAACUCACCAGGGGCGACAGCUGGUUGACGGCCAGAUUGACGAUCUUGCCCGACUAGCUGAGAGGUGGUGCAUGGCCAUCGUCAGCUCGUACCGUGAGGCGUCCUGUUAAGUCAGGCAACGAGCGAGAUCCUCGCCCUUAGUUGCCAUCGGUGGAAAGCCGGGCACUCUAGGGGGACCGCUGGCGCUAAGUCAGAGGAAGGAGAGGGCGACGGUAGGUCAGUAUGCCCCGAAUCCCCUGGGCUACACGCGGGUCACAAUGCGCAGGACAAUGAGAUGCAACCCCGUAAGGGGAAGCCAAACCCAUAAACCUGCGCUCGGUUCGGAUCGAGGGCUGUAACUCGCCCUCGUGAAGCUGGAAUCUCUAGUAAUCGCGUGC
rnacentral:rRNA from 1 species